GAUGAACGCUAGCUCCAGGCUUAACACAUGCAAGUCGAGUGACCGGCGCACGGGUGAGUAACACGUAUCCCUCCUUCCCUUUACUCGGGGAUAGCCUUUCGCAAGACAUCUUACUACCCGAUAUAAAGGAUGGGGAUGCGUUCCGUUUGUUUGUUGGUGAGGUAACGGCUCACCAAGCCUUCGAUGGCUAGAGGUUCGGAGAGGAAGGUACCCCACAUGUGAACUGAGACACGGUCCAAACUCCUAGGGGAGGGAGCAGAGAGGGAAAUUGGGGAGGGGGCGCGAGCCUGAAACAGCCGAGUAGAGUGAAGGAUGAAGGGUUAUGGGUCGUAAAAUUCUUUUAUAGAAGAAAAGGUAUUAAAUGAAUAAGGAGCGGCUAACUCCGUGCCAGCAGCCGCGGUAAUUC
rnacentral:rRNA from 1 species